rnacentral:lncRNA from 1 species
AUUCUAUUAGCUUUUACAGUAACCAGUGUGUAGAAAACACAAAUGACGGAAGUCAUUGCUUUUAAAGCCCUUCUCACAAAUGAAUUUCCUUUGGAGACGCAAUAUCCCAGGAGCAUAAUAGAUUUUCCUCUCCCUUCUUCCAUUUGAACAGACACGUUCACAGCUAACUAAUCAGUUGCAAUUCUAAUCUAUAUUUCUGAUUUGUUUACAUGCAUCAUGCAGGCUGGCAAUCUUUUGAAUUUAAAUGUGACUUAAAGUAAAAUAAAAUAAACCACAAGUAAAUGACACAGAAUUGCUAACAGUAGGAACUUUGUUUACAUUCCACAUUCUGAAAAUAUUUUGUUCAGCUGGCUAGGGAAACCACAUGGUGGAGACAGACUGGGUGAGGAUUUGGUUUACUGCCUGGCUGGAAUCAGGAUGGAAAAAGGGAUGGCAUGUGAUAUGGCUGUCUGUCACCUCAAAUCCAGAGAAAGAACACAUUCUCAGCACACAUGUGAUCUGUGCUUUAACAGAAGAGCUCUAAUAAUCCUAGCCAGAUCAUCACGUGCGCCUGGCACUGGGCCAGAACAAUAUGCCAGUCUAUUGGAGUAUUCAGAUAAUAACCGUCUCUUCAUUUCUGCAGUCAUCAGCAGGUGCUGCUUCGUACAUGACUCUCUUGGAGUCUGUUUGUUCUGCAAGUCCUUUGUUCCUGCCUACUUUCUGAAAUUAUCCUCUAAUACAGUCCUAUUUCUCCCUUCCCACCUACAUUUGAAGGUUUAUUGAGAGGCUUUCGUAUUCUUGUUGGUCUCGCUGCCUUUCCCAGAUGAUGACUCCAGCUCAAUUAAAUGAAACUUAGCAAUAGCUGAGGAAUGGUCACUAAAGGGACAAGAUGCAUUGAAAACACACAGAUGCCCUUUAACGUGGGCUCUGUCCUCCAGAGCAGAACAUUGCAGUGAAUGCACCUGUACCAGGGUGCAUCCUGGUACAAUUACUUGGUGUAAGAAAUGAGAAAGAAGGCAGGAAUGGAGAUGAAGACAGAAUUUAGAAGGGAAGAAUGAGAUUUUAGCAGGCCAGUUCUAAUAGCAGAUGCUCCUAAGAUGCAACUCAGAAAAUU